UUNNUGGUGGAGCAUGUGGUUUAAUUCGAUGCAACGCGAAGAACCUUACCAAGGCUUGACAUAUACCGGAAACGUUCAGAAAUGUUCGCCCCGCAAGGUCGGUAUACAGGUGGUGCAUGGUUGUCGUCAGCUCGUGUCGUGAGAUGUUGGGUUAAGUCCCGCAACGAGCGCAACCCUCGUCGUAUGUUGCCAGCACGUAAUGGUGGGAACUCAUAUGAGACUGCCGGGGUCAACUCGGAGGAAGGUGGGGAUGACGUCAAAUCAUCAUGCCCCUUAUGUCUUGGGCUUCACGCAUGCUACAAUGGCUGGUACAAUGGGCUGCAAUACCGCGAGGUGGAGCGAAUCCCAAAAAGCCAGUCUCAGUUCGGAUUGGGGUCUGCAACUCGACCCCANGAAGUCGGAGUCGC
rnacentral:rRNA from 1 species